rnacentral:lncRNA from 1 species
UUCUCCACCUUCGAUUACUUUCUAUAUUUUCUUCUGCUCUCAACUAAUCCCCAAACCCUAGCUGCAGAUUUGGGGGGUUUCAGAUCCACCGAAUCGAACCCUAAAUUGCCUCUCUCCCUUUGUAUCCCCACCGGAAAAGCAACCUUUGGUAUGGACAACAGUGAUCUCGCCACCGGUUAUGGCUCCUGCUUCGGUUCAGGUAUAAUUUCUUCUUUUGCUUUUCGUUUCAAUUUGUUUCAUCAAGUC